rnacentral:rRNA from 1 species
UGGGGAGUUUUGGACAAUGGGCGAAAGCCUGAUCCAGCAAUGCCGCGUGUGUGAAGAAGGCCUUCGGGUUGUAAAGCACUUUUGUCCGGAAAGAAAUCCUUGGCUCUAAUACAGUCGGGGGGUGACGGUACCGGAAGAAUAAGCACCGGCUAACUACGUGCCAGCAGCCGCGGUAAUACGUAGGGUGCAAGCGUUAAUCGGAAUUACUGGGCGUAAAGCGUGCGCAGGCGGUUUGCUAAGACCGAUGUGAAAUCCCCGGGCUCAACCUGGGAACUGCAUUGGUGACUGGCAGGCUAGAGUAUGGCAGAGGGGGGUAGAAUUCCACGUGUAGCAGUGAAAUGCGUAGAGAUGUGGAGGAAUACCGAUGGCGAAGGCAGCCCCCUGGGCCAAUACUGACGCUCAUGCACGAAAAGCGUGGGGGAGCAAAACAGGAUUAGAUACCCUGGUAGUCCACGCCCUAAAACGAUGUCAACUAGUUGUUGGGGAUUCAUUUCCUUAGUAACGUAGCUAACGCGUGAAGUUGACCGCCUGGGGAGUACGGUCGCAAGAUU